rnacentral:rRNA from 1 species
ACGAACGCUGGCGGCGUGCUUAACCCCUGCCAGUCGAACGGAAAGGCCCUGCUUGCAGGGUACUCGAGUGGCGAACGGGUGAGUAACACGUGGGUGAUCUGCCCUGCACUUCGGGAUAAGCCUGGGAAACUGGGUCUAAUACCGGAUAUGACCUUCCAUGUAGUGUGGGGGGUGGAAAGAUUUAUCGGUGUGGGAUGAGCCCGCGGCCUAUCAGCUUGUUGGUGGGGUAAUGGCCUACCAAGGCGUCGACGGGUAGCCGGCCUGAGAGGGUGGACGGCCACAUUGGGACUGAGAUACGGCCCAGACUCCUACGGGAGGCAGCAGUGGGGAAUAUUGCACAAUGGGCGGAAGCCUUAUGCAGCGACGCCGCGUGGGGGAUGACGGCCUUCGGGUUGUAAACCUCUUUCGACAGGGACGAAGCUUCGGUGACGGUACCUGUAUAAGAAGCACCGGCUAACUACGU